rnacentral:rRNA from 1 species
GAUUACUCCUACGGGAGGCAGCAGUAGGGAAUCUUCCACAAUGGACGAAAGUCUGAUGGAGCAACGCCGCGUGAGUGAAGAAGGAUUUCGGUUCGUAAAACUCAGUUGCAAGGGAAGAACAAGUAGCGUAGUAACUGGCGCUACCUUGACGGUACCUUGUUAGAAAGCCACGGCUAACUACGUGCCAGCAGCCGCGGUAAUAAU